AGAGUUUGAUCAUGGCUCAGAACGAACGCUGGCGGCAUGCCUAACACAUGCAAGUCGAACGGGAUCCGAGCUUCGGUUCGGUGAGAGUGGCGGACGGGUGAGUAACGCGUGGGAACCUGCCCAGUGGUGGGGGGAUAACUGCGGGAAACUGCAGCUAAUACCGCAUGAGCCCGAGAGGGAAAGAUUUAUCGCCAUUGGAGGGGCCCGCGUUCGAUUAGGUAGUUGGUGAGGUAACGGCUCACCAAGCCUUCGAUCGAUAGCUGGUCUGAGAGGAUGAUCAGCCACACUGGGACUGAGAUACGGCCCAGACUCCUACGGGAGGCAGCAGUGGGGAAUAUUGGACAAUGGGGGCAACCCUGAUCCAGCAAUGCCGCGUGAGUGAUGAAGGCCUUCGGGUUGUAAAGCUCUUUUGCCAGGGACGAUGAUGACGGUACCUGGAGAAUAAGCCCCGGCUAACUUCGUG
rnacentral:rRNA from 1 species